rnacentral:rRNA from 1 species
GAUGAACGCUGGCGGCGUGCCUAAUACAUGCAAGUCGAACGAGGUGCUUUUGUAGCAAUACGAGAGUAUCCUAGUGGCGAACGGGUGAGUAACGCGUUGGUGACCUACCCCAAAGUGUGGGAUAACAGUCCGAAAGGAUUGCUAAUACCGCAUGUGGUCAUUGGAUUUAGAAACUUAUGACUAAAGGGGCAAUUCGCUUUGGGAGGGACCUGCGUCCCAUCAGCUAGUUGGUGAGGUAAUGGCUCACCAAGGCGACGACGGGUAGGGGACCUGAGAGGGUGGCCCCCCACAAUGGAACUGAAACACGGUCCAUACACCUACGGGUGGCAGCAGUAGGGAAUAUUGCCCAAUGGACGAAAGUCUGAGGCAGCAACGCCGCGUGCACGAUGAAGGCCUUCGGGUCGUAAAGUGCUUUUCUGGGAGAUGAGAAAGGACAGUAUCCCAGGAAUAAGUCUCGGCUAACUACGUGCCAGCAGCCGCCGUAAUAC